rnacentral:rRNA from 1 species
UACGUAGGGGCUAGCGUUAUCCGGAAUUACUGGGCGUAAAGGGUGCGUAGGCGGUCUUUCAAGCCAGAAGUGAAAGGCUACGGCUCAACCGUAGUAAGCUUUUGGAACUGUAAGACUUGAGUGCAGGAGAGGAGAGUGGAAUUCCAUGUGUAGCGGUGAAAUGCGUAGAGAUAAGGAGGAACACCAGUGGCGAAGGCGGCUUCCUGGUCUGUAACUGACACUGAGGCGCGAAAGCGUGGGGAGCAAACAGGAUUAGAUACCCGUGUAGUCCCU